rnacentral:lncRNA from 1 species
AAAGGAAAAAACUGUACCCUUUACCAGCGGGAGGGGGGGAGGUUUCUCGGUGCGGUGACUCCGCCAUUCCUCUUUCACGGUCGAGGGUUUUCUUCGGUUAACCUGCACUAAAAAAAGACGAGGAACACAAGAGUCAAAGAAUUGAAGGAAACAGAAAGUGGGAAAGGGCUCAUCAGAGUGGUUUUGGGUCGCGGCCGCGAUGGGUCGACCGAGCUCCGUUUAUGUUUUUUGGCUUACCCUUUGGCCUUUUGGCUCUGAUAU